CAAGUCGAACGAUCCGAGCAAUCGGAUAGUGGCGAACGGCGGAGUAAUACAUAAGCAACGUGCCCCAAAGACCGGGAUAGUCAGUGGAAACGCUGGGUAAUACCGGAUGUGGCCUCUUUCCGGCAUCGGAGAGAGAUUAAAGGGUUUUUCGCUUUGGGAGCGGCUUAUGGCCUAUCAGGUAGUUGGUGGGGUAAUGGCCUACCAAGCCGACGACGGGUAGCGGGUCUGAGAGGAUGAUCCGCUCGAGUGGGACUGAGACACGGCCCACACACCUACGGGUGGCAGCAGUUGGGAAUCUUGCACAAUGGGGGAAACCCUGAUGCAGCGACGCCGCGUGGAGGAUGACGGGUCUAGGCCUGUAAACUCCUUUUAUGGGGAAAGACUUAGGACGGUACCCCAUGAAUAAGGACCGGCUAACUACGUGCCAGCAGCCGCGGUAAGACGUAGGGUCCAAGCGUUGUCCGGAUUUACUGGGCGUAAAGAGCGCGUAGGCGGCUCGUUAAGUGUGAAGCUAAAUCUCCAGGCUCAACUUGGAAACUAUUUCGCAUACUGGCGGGCUGGAGGGAUGCAGAGGUCUGUGGAAUUCCUGGUGUAGCGGUGAAAUGCGUUGAUAUCAGGAGGAACACCCAUGGCGAAGGCAGCAGACUGGGCAUCAUCUGACGCUGAGGCGCGAAAGCGUGGGUAGCAAACAGGAUUAGAUACCCUGGUAGUCCACGCCCUAAACGAUGGAUACUAGGCGUAAGAGGUAUCGACCCCUCUUGUGCCGCAGCUAACGCACUAAGUAUCCCGCCUGGGGAGUACGGCCGCAAGGUUGAAACUCAAAUGAAUUGACGGGGACCCGCACAAGCGGUGGAGCAUGUGGAUUAAUUCGAUACUAACCGAAGAACCUUACCCAGACUUG
rnacentral:rRNA from 1 species